rnacentral:rRNA from 1 species
CAAUAGCGUAUAUUUAAGUUGUUGCAGUUAAAAAGCUCGUAGUCGGAUUUUGGCUGAGAACGAUCGGUCAGCCGUUAGGUGUGCACUGAUUGGUCUCAGCUUCCUGGUGAGGAGGUGUGCUUCACGGCCACUUAGUCACCGUGGUUACUUUGAAAAAAUUAGAGUGUUCAAAGCGGGCUUACGCUUGAAUAUAUUAGCAUGGAAUAACACCAUAGGACUCCUGUCCUAUUUCGUUGGUCUCGGGACGGGAGUAAUGAUUAAGAGGAACAGUUGGGGGCAUUCGUAUUUCAUUGUCAGAGGUGAAAUUCUUGGAUUUAUGAAAGACGAACUUCUGCGAAAGCAUUUGCCAAGGAUGUUUUCAUUGA